AGCUCCAAUAGCGUAUAUUAAAGUUGUUGCGGUUAAAAAGCUCGUAGUUGGAUUUCUGUUGAGGGCGAGUGGUCCGGACCAUGUCUGUGUAUCUACUGUGGCCUCGGCAUCCUCUCGAAAUACGCAUCUGCGCUUGAUUGCGUGGUGUGGCAUUCGGGACUUUUACUUUGAGGAAAUUAGAGUGUUCACGGCAGGCCAUUGCCCUGAAUAUAUUAGCAUGGAAUAAUAAUAUAGGAUCUCGAUUCUAUUUUGUUGGUUUCAGGAGUUGAGGUAAUGAUUAAUAGGGACAAUUGGGGGCAUUCGUAUCAACACGUCAGAGGUGGAAUUCUUGGAUUGUGUUGCGACGAACUACUGCGAAAGCAUUUGCCAAGGAUGUUUUCA
rnacentral:rRNA from 1 species